GGUGAACGCUGACAGAAUGCUUAACACAUGCAAGUCUACUUGAUCCUUCGGGUGAUGGUGGCGGACGGGUGAGUAACGCGUAAAGAACUUGCCUUGCAGUCUGGGACAACGUCUGGAAACGGACGCUAAUACCGGAUAUUAUGGUUGUAUACGCAUGAUUAGUAAUUAUGAAAGCUAUAUGCGCUGCGAGAGAGCUUUGCGUCCCAUUAGUUAGUUGGUGAGGUAACGGCUCACCAAGACGAUGAUGGGUAGCCGGCCUGAGAGGGUGAACGGCCACAAGGGGACUGAGACACGGCCCUU
rnacentral:rRNA from 1 species